AUAAGAGGGGGGAUAACAUCCGGAAACGGGUGCUAAUACCGCAUAGUUUUCUUGAUCGCAUGAUCGGGAAAGGAAAGACGGCCUUUGUGCUGUCGCUUAUGGAUGGACCCGCGGCGUAUUAGUAGUUGGUGAGGUAAUGGCUCACCAAGACGAUGAUACGUAGCCGACCUGAGAGGGUGAUCGGCCACAUUGGGACUGAGACACGGCCCAAACUCCUACGGGAGGCAGCAGUAGGGAAUCUUCCGCAAUGGACGAAAGUCUGACGGAGCAACGCCGCGUGAGUGGAGAAGGUUUUUUCCGGGAUCGUAAAACUCUGUUGUCAGAGAAGAACAAGUUGGAGAGUAACUGCUCCAGCCUUGACGGUAUCUGACCAGAAAGCCACGGCUAACUACGUGCCAGCAGCUGC
rnacentral:rRNA from 1 species